UAAGAAAUGGCAACAAGGCUCAACAGAGCAGAGAGACAAGAAUACCUAUAUAGAGACAUGAGAAAGAAUAAGCCAAGGACAAAACGAGAAUUCCGCAUCCGGUGAAAGCUGAAGUCACAUAGGGAAGGGAGUUUCUGCAGAUGGAGAAAAGGGAGAUAUCACACUGUGUGUGAUAGGUUAUUAGCUGGAGGAUUGAGAUUGGUAUAUGGCAUUCAGAUAGUCCUUCUGAACUGAAAUCAUGGAAAGACUAGGCUCACCAGGCAGGGAAAGCUAGAUAUAGCCUAAAAAACCUCCACUUACGGAUUCACAUACUGGUUGGUAUGUUCAUCAAGUUCUCGAUUACUACUUACGGUGCCCACUGACUCCCUUUAAUGGUACGCCAAGAUAUCGCUCAUAACGACUGCAAAGGCAUAUUUAUUAGCCAGCUGUGGGAUACUGCCCUAAAGCUGCUGUUCCGGUGAUUAGAUCAAAAUAGAGUUCUUUCUACAAGAGCAUCUCAAGUUGGUCAGGCGUCCCCAGGAGUGUUUCGAUAUCAGCAAGCACAUUCUAACUAUCUAUAAAUGGCAUUUCGAGGUGAGAGAGAGUUCCAGCAUAUUACACAAAAGAUUGGGUAGACACAUGCGUUGAGGCAUUCCCUACAACAGGUGGAUAAAGCCGUUUCUAGGCCAUAGAAAAACAUAGCAUGUGACAUUUAUUUACAUAGGACCAAGCAUAAUCGUUUUAGAUAAGAAUCAAUCAGCAGGUGAAAGGCAAGCACUUCCUUCCCUGAAUCCUACUCUUGCCCUAAAAAAGUACUAACUAAAGCCAAAUCGAAUGAAAUAUGCCUCUCUACGCGAAUAAGCAGAAGUGAGCCCAAUAGAACAGAUCAGGAAAGAGUUUACUAAGCUAUCGCGCGCAGUAAAGAGAAUACCAUAUCUAGUUCCUGGCUAGCUCCCAUCUUCGAUGCAUGGAUCUGACUAACCGGAGAUCGGACUCGUGUGCUUGAAUCAAAAGAAAA